AAAAUUGAAUAGGAGAUAUGUUCUUUCUGGCCCUAUAUGCUAGCUAAAGGUCAGAAAGCUAAGAUGGAAUUUGGUGCAAGUCCAAAACGGUCCCGCCGCUGUAAUUGGGUAGGGGUAAGGUAAAACCACUGGUAUAAUCUGGGAAGGUCCUUAUUCCGUUUGACCCAUAAGUCAGAAUACAUGCAUAUCUUGGAAGGACAAA
rnacentral:ncRNA from 1 species